rnacentral:rRNA from 1 species
UACAGAGGUCUCGAGCGUUGUUCGGAUCAUUGGGCGUAAAGGGUGCGUAGGUGGCGCUGUAAGUCGGGUGUGAAAUCCUGAGGCUUAACCUCGGAACUGCAUUCGAUACUGCGGUGCUUGAGGACUGGAGAGGAGACUGGAAUUCAUGGUGUAGCAGUGAAAUGCGUAGAGAUCAUGAGGAAGACCAGUGGCGAAGGCGGGUCUCUGGACAGUUCCUGACACUGAGGCACGAAGGCCAGGGAGCAAACGGG